rnacentral:rRNA from 1 species
UACGUAGGAGGCAAGCGUUGUCCGGAAUUACUGGGCGUAAAGCGCGUGUAGGUGGUGGGACAAGUCUGCUGUGAAAGCGCCUGGCUUAACCGGGCGAGGUCGGCGGAAACUGUCCGACUCGAGGACGGUAGAGGGGGGUGGAAUUCCCGGUGUAGUGGUGAAAUGCGUAGAGAUCGGGAGGAACACCUGUGGCGAAGGCGGCCCCCUGGCCGGCCCUGACACUGAGACGCGAAGGCGUGGGGAGCAAACAGG